UAACUGGCUUUUGGCAGCUAAGUGUUCACAGCGACGCUACUUUUUGAUCCUUCGAUUACAACUCUUCCCAUCAUACUGAAGCAGAAUUCAGCAAGCGUUGGAUUGUUCACCCAUUGAUAGGGAUUGUGGGUUAAGACUGGACAGUGACAAAACAGUG
rnacentral:ncRNA from 1 species